UGAAUUGUCAUCAACCAGCUGAUGCCCCAUGAUUUGCAUCAAGAAUCUACAGUUUAAGAUGUGAUAGAGGAAAUUUCCUGGAAGCUAACAUUGUCUCUACGACAUUCUCGUGGGGGUUGGCAAAUAACUCUAAAAAUAAUUUAGAAAAUUAGAAUAUGCACAUAGAGUUAAUAUUUGACGUCACAUAAUUAAAAAUAAAAUUUAAUAAAUUUAAUUUUAAAAUUAUUUUUGUGAUGUAUCAUUAUCUAAUUCAUUGAUGAUACAUAAAAUCAUACACAGUCAAUCCAUCAAAUAUAAAUUAAAAGGUUUUAUUGCAAUAAUAGAAGGGAUUGAUAUCAAUAAUAAGGGGCUAUUAUAGCAAAUGGACAUAGACAUGGACCUGCAUAAUGCUAACAACCAUUGGCAAAUAUUGAUGAAAACAACAUUUUCAAAUUUAUUGAUGAAUUUCUAUACUAACAUAGGAAUAAUAUUACAACCCGAGACACGAUUCAAGAAAGCUUAAAUCUAUGUAAUUUCGACCUUUAAUAAAGAGUGUCACCCACAUGGGAUAACAGGCUAAUUGCCUGUGAUUAGUUAUUUUGUCAUAAAGGACCCUGGGCAAUCAAAGUUGUAGGACCAGCAAUAUGGCUACCAACUGGCCUAAUUGCAGCAGUAGCCAAAGUUAAAAUUUUUUUAGAGGUCGAAAUUAAAUUGUAUAUUUUAUUAUAUCUUUAUAAUUUUUAAAAAGUUUGGGUCAGUUUAGGAAUGCUUUUUAAAAGUGUUACAAGUUGUUUUUUAAGAGAAAAAGUAUUUUUUUUAGAAACUGAAAAUUUUAGUUUCUUCCCAAAAGUGAUUUCGAGAAGUAUUCCUAAAUUAGGUCUAAAUCAAAAUUUUAUCACCUUUCAGAGAUUAAAAUACAAUUUUACCAUUACUAAUUUAAAAGUUUAUAAAUUAUAAAGAGACUAAAUUGAAAAUUUACCAUUUUAGGGGGUUCGAGCCCUGCCAACCCCUCCUCCGCUACUAAAUGGCCUACUAAUGAACAAUGUCCAAACAACUAAAGACUCAUUAUAACUCUAAUCUGCUUUAUAACCGAAGAGAGAGAGUAAGUAGGGAUUUUGACUCUUCUAAAAUGAAAAAGAUUAUAAAAUUUAAAUAAAUAAAUAGUAAAAUUAUAAUUUAUUUAAUUUAAUCAUUUUAAAAAAUAUAAAAAAUAAUAAAAUUAUAUUUUGUAUUAUAAAUAUAUAUAUAACUCAAUAUCUUCUAAAAAAUAUAUAUAACUUUUCUUCUCCAAAUUCACGUUCUCCUAUAAAAAAAAAACUUUAACCCAAAUAAUUAUGGAUAAAAUGCUGAAAUUAAAUUAGAGUUGAAAUUUUCGUGCAGAAUGACAGGUGAAUGUUACUAACAACAUACCAAGUACCAACCUACCAUCCCAGCCGACCAAACUUUAUUCUAAUUUUGAAAAUAAAUAAUAAAAAGAAACCCUAAAUGAUUAGCAUAUAUAAAAUUUAAUAAUAUUGUAGAACAAAUAAUUGUAUGUAUUUUUUUACCUUUGCUUUUGGAAAGAGUCGACGCCAUUGAAAUAUAUCUCCAACCCUAAAACCUUCUUCACAGACCAUUCUUUAGAGCAAAGCAUUUACCAGCUUGUGCUUGAAAAAACUUCAUGGAGUACAUCGAAAACACACACAAAUAUAUAGGACUACGAAAGACUUGUUCU
rnacentral:lncRNA from 1 species